rnacentral:rRNA from 1 species
UACGUAGGGUGCGAGCGUUAAUCGGAAUUACUGGGAGUAAAGCGUGCGCAGGCGGCGCGUUAAGACAGGUGUGAAAGCCCCGAGCUUAACUUGGGAAUUGCGCUUGUGACUGGCGAGCUGGAGUGUGGCAGAGGGAGGUGGAAUUCCACGUGUAGCAGUGAAAUGCGUAGAGAUGUGGAGGAACACCGAUGGCGAAGGCAGCCUCCUGGGCCAGCACUGACGCUCAUGCACGAAAGCGUGGGGAGCAAACAGG